CUCUGGACAUCAUGAAGACAGUUUUCCCUCCUAGCCUCGGCUCCUACUGUAGCAGUGAGAUGAACCUGCAUCUAAGGGGGCUUGCUCAGUGUCUCUCUACUGGCUGUUCUGGAACUUACUAUAUAGAUGAGACUAGCUUUGAACUCACAGAGAUCCAUCUGUUUCUGCCCCCUGAGUGCUGGGAUCAAAGGUGUGUGCCCUAAAACCCAGCCUACCAUAAUUUUUUUUUUAAAAAAUCAGAUACCAAGGUACACAUAUUUAAUGUUAUUCUUAGUUCCUUA
rnacentral:lncRNA from 1 species